rnacentral:misc_RNA from 1 species
UGAUGUUAUUCAGGAACUUAACCUGCAUAUCAAAGUUCACUUUUAGUAACAGAAGAGUAGAAACAAGGAUGGCUCUGACGAUGAACUAGUUCAGUGGUACUAGAAUUUCUCUAACUGUACAGUCUCCGGUUCGAUUUCCUGUCAAAGUCCAUUAUAACAAAAAUGAAAAAUGAUGUAAAGGGCAUUUCGUGUGUACUAGCAUUAC